GACGAACGCUGGCGGCGUGCUUAACACAUGCAAGUCGAACGGAAAGGCCCUGCUGUUGUGGGGUGCUCGAGUGGCGAACGGGUGAGUAACACGUGAGUAACCUGCCCUUGACUUUGGGAUAACUUCAGGAAACUGGGGCUAAUACCGGAUAGGAGCUCCUGCUGCAUGGUGGGGGUUGGAAAGUUUCGGCGGUUGGGGAUGGACUCGCGGCUGAUCGGCUUGUUGGUGGGGUAGUGGCUUACCAAGGCUUUGACGGGUAGCCGGCCUGAGAGGGUGACCGGCCACAUUGGGACUGAGAUACGGCCCAGACUCCUACGGGAGGCAGCAGUGGGGAAUAGUGCACAAUGGGCGGAAGCCUGAUGCAGCAACGCCGCGUGCGGGAUGACGGCCUUCGGGUUGUAAACCGCUUUCGCCUGUGACGAAGCGUGAGUGACGGUAAUGGGUAAAGAAGCACCGGCUAACUACGUG
rnacentral:rRNA from 1 species